GACGUAGGGCGCGAGCGUUGUCCGGAUUUAUUGGGCGUAAAGAGCUCGUAGGCGGCUUGUCGCGUCGACUGUGAAAUCCCGCGCUCAACUGCGGGUCUGCAGUCGAUACGGGCAGGCUAGAGUUCGGUAGGGGAGACUGGAAUUCCUGGUGUAGCGGUGAAAUGCGCAGAUAUCAGGAGGAACACCGGUGGCGAAGGCGGGUCUCUGGGCCGAUACUGACGCUGAGGAGCGAAAGCGUGGGGAGCGAACAGG
rnacentral:rRNA from 1 species